CUGGGCCAGCCUCUGCCUGAGAAGUUCACUCUGGGAACAUCUUCCGGUGGGUACUAAGGGCCUGAUUCCAGGCCCUAUGGCCUGUGGAACCUCACCACUGGGGGGAAGGCUGGGCCGGACUGAGUCAUCACCUGUGGGGCUGGCCCCAUGGAGGAGGUGGAGUGGACGCCGAGACAACCCAGGGCGGAGGACCUAAGGGUUGGGCUCAUCAGCUGGGCAGGAUCCUACCUCACUUAUGAACCAUAUAAGAAUACGGUCACGGCUACGGCAAAGGGCUUGGGCCGGAGACAGACCUGGGAGAUCCUAGUGAGCAAUCAGCAUGACACACAGGCUGUGGUACGACUAAGAAGCUUGCAGGGUCUCUACCUUCUGUGUGAGGCAGACGGUUCUCUGUGCUACGGGCGGCCAAGGACAAGCCAUCAUGGGUGCUUCCUCAUCCGUUUCCACCGCAAUGGUCAAUGGACCCUCCAGUGCAUCAUCAGUGGUCGCUACCUGGAAUCCGAUGGCGAGGAUGUUUUCUGUACCUCCCGGGUUCUCUCAGCUUACCACAUGUGGACUCCCCGGCCAGCCCUGCACGUCCACGUGAUCCUCUUCAGCCCCCUCAACCACUGCUAUGCCCGGGCUGACCCUACCAUGGGCCGAGUCUGGGUCGACGCACCAAUUCCCUGUCUGGAGGAAUGCGGCUUCCUGUUGCACUUUCAAGAUGGAUGCUAUCACCUGGAGACCUCUGCACACACCUUCUUGUCCCACUUAGACCGGCUGGUCUCCCAACCCUCAACACAGACAGCUUUUCACAUGCAAGUGCGUCCUGGAGGGUUUGUGGCGCUGAGCGAUGGGGAGGGAGGCAUGCUGUAUCCACAGGGCACACGCCUGCUCCUGAGUCUGGGCUCCAGUCCCCAUGGAGGCGAGGAGUGGUUCAUCCUACAGCGCUGCCCGACGUGGGUCAGCCUCAGGUCCAAGUCUCGGAAGUUCCUCUCCGUUGUCUAUGACGUGGAGGUGUGUGCUGCCUCUGAGCACGUAAGCCCAAUGUCAUUGUUCCAGUUUGAAUGUGACAACGAGACCCCCACCUUGCAGCUUCGUUCAGCCAAUGGCUGCUACCUAGCCCAGAGGCGCCAUAGGGCAGUGAUGGCUGAUGGGCACCCAAUGGAAUGUGAAACCUUCUUUCGUAUGCACUGGAAUUGCGGCAAGAUCCUCCUACAGUCUCCCAAUGGACGCUUCCUGUGCAUCGCAGCCAAUGGCCUGUUGAUGGCCAGUGCCACCAUUCCCGGCCCAAAUGAGGAAUUUGGGAUUCGAUUAGCCAACCGCCCCUUCCUCGCCUUGCGGGGUCGGUAUGGGUAUGUGGGUACCUCAUCAGAACACGACCUCCUGCAGUGCAAUAUGGAUCAACCAGACUGCAUUCACCUGCUGCCCUGCCGCCAGGGCAUCUACCACUUCCAAGGGUGGAUCCUUCUGGUCAAUAACAUCCUUCGGCACCUUUCGGCCUUGGGGAAAGUUCGCCCUCAACUUCUGUAUCGAGCUUCAGGGCAGCAACUUGCUCACGGUGCUGGCACCCAAUGGUUUCUACAUGCGAUCCGACCGAAGUGGUACCCUGUUGGCAGACAGCGAAGACAUUACCAAAGAGUGUAUUUGGGAAUUUUAGGUCAACAGGAUGCCGCCUACCGAAAUCCAAAUCUUCCAGGAGAAACUACUACACUAAACCGAACAGGAACCCCAGAGUCAAGAUCCAUGAGAAGAAUAUCUGUAACACAAGUUUUCCUACCCAGUUUAGCAAAGCACCUGUUUCGAGCAACAAUACAUCACAAACGGCCACCCCCAAGACCCUGGUGUGCAUCUGACUUGAAAGUAGAGGUGUGAAUGUGGGUGGCAACUGAGACUCCAGGUCACUCCAAGUGGUGUCCAGAAGGGGGGAGACCAAAUGGUUUCCCAGGAGGAGCCUGGAGAUUUCUCUCUAGGGAGACAAAAUUGAGACGAUUUGGAACUUACAGAAAAGAAGAAGCAAGCAAACAU